rnacentral:rRNA from 1 species
CCAGACUCCUACGGGAGGCAGCAGUGAGGAAUAUUGGUCAAUGGCCGCAGGGCUGAACCAGCCAAGUCGCGUGAGGGAUGACGGUCCUAUGGAUUGUAAACCUCUUUUGUCAGGGAGCAAAGGGCGCCACGUGUGGCGUUUUGCGAGUACCUGAAGAAAAAGCAUCGGCUAACUCCGUGCCAGCAGCCGCGGUAAUACGGAGGAUGCGAGCGUUAUCCGGAUUUAUUGGGUUUAAAGGGUGCGUAGGCGGGCUUUUAAGUCAGCGGUAAAAAUUCGGGGCUCAACCCCGUCCGGCCGUUGAAACUGGGGGCCUUGAGUGGGCGAGAAGAAGGCGGAAUGCGUGGUGUAGCGGUGAAAUGCAUAGAUAUCACGCAGAACCCCGAUUGCGAAGGCAGCCUUCCGGCGCCCUACUGACGCUGAGGCACGAAAGUGCGGGGAUCGAACAGGAUUAGAUACCCGGGUA